GUUCAUUUACGCUUGUUAGGGCGUCCCAGGGGGUUGUCUUUCUCCGAGAAUGGAGUGUUUAUUUUUUAAUUGAUGUGCUGUUUCAUUUAGCGCUUGUAUGGAACUCAUGCUGGGGCUGUAAUUACUGUAAUCUCGGGAACAAGCAUUUCAGUUAGCCAGGAGGGUGGCAAAACGCGUUCCCUCUCUCCCUCUCUCCCCCCUCCCUCUCUUCCCUCUCUUCCCUCUCUCUCUGUUGCGAGAUUUUUGCUGAUUGUCAGAUUUCAUAGCAAGACCGAGUAGGACUAGGGAGCCAAAGUUGUGGAGGGUGUGGGCACAGAGAAGCAGAAUUACAGGUACAGUUGAGGCCAGCUCCACUUUCUGGGGGUGGGGGUGAUGGUAGUUGGUGGUUAUCUGUUUAAGACCAAUUCUCGUCACGAAACAAACAUAACUAGCAGCAUUUGUAUAUUGCUUGAGCUAAUGGAAUCUGUCUUCCUUCUGUUUUCUCUAGCUUAGUUAGCAACCUCUUUAGGCGCCACACUCUAAACAGACAGGCGGAACCCCCCACCCCACCCCCGGCCCCCGGUUUUUGGCAAGUUCUGUAUUUUGGCCAAGAAUUCUAGGCAUAUCCACCAGGCUGUAGUUAUACCCCUAUCUUCCACCGUCUUUUUCUUUUUCUUCUUCUUCUUCUUCUUUUUUUUUUUUUUAAACUGAAGUCUAGUUAGAACCUCAGCAUACUGAAAAAUAACACUUCCUUCUCUCUUUUGUUUUGGAAAAACUAAACUCCAUAGGAAUCAAAAAUUCAAAGGCUUCAGAAAUAUUAGCUGAUUCAGCAGAAAAUGAUCCCUUCGAAAAUGCAAAGGCUCAACCUUUACUUGGCCUUUUUUUUUUUUUUUAAAUCAAUUCCUGUCUCCCCUCCUCCUAAUCGGAACCCCCUUUUAUGGCUGGUUGAAUGUAGAGGGUCACCUGUCUCUUUUGGUGGUACCUUGUUCAUAGAGGGUCAUUGUCCAGAAAGUUCGACUUCGCAGCAACAACAGAUGAAAGCUUUGAUGAUGUGGAAUGUGGAAUUUUUCGGAAAACGAUCCUGUCAGAAGGAGCUACUCACUGCUGUGUCUGCUGUAACAAGGCUAAGUGGGAUGGAAGGAGAUAACCGAGACAAAUGUGUGCCACUGGCCAGGAAUCAGAGAGCAAAGGCCACGUCUUAGCUCUCUCUUUUUCCCACACGGAUUCUGGACCAGGGUGUUGGCAGUGGUGACCUCAGGCUCAGAAGAUGGUUACAGCAGCUCUAGGCUCCACCUCCAGAGACAACAUCUUAAUGAAGUACAAGAAACAAAC
rnacentral:lncRNA from 1 species